ACCGGCGAACGGGCGAUCGCGUCGGUCAAACGGCGAGGAAAGUCCGAGCACGAGAGGACAACGGUGGUGGGUAACACCCACCGGCCCGUGGGCUGCGGGUCAGGGAAAGUGCCACAGAAAAGAAACCGCCGAUGUGACUUCGGUCGCAGGCAAGGGUGAAAAGGUGCGGUAAGAGCGCACCGCCCGUUCC
rnacentral:RNase_P_RNA from 1 species